rnacentral:rRNA from 1 species
CGGGUGAGUAACGCGUGAGGAACCUGCCUCAAAGAGGGGGACAACAGUUGGAAACGACUGCUAAUACCGCAUAAGCCCACGGCUCGGCAUCGAGCAGAGGGAAAAGGAGUGAUCCGCUUUGAGAUGGCCUCGCGUCCGAUUAGCUGGUUGGUGAGGUAACGGCCCACCAAGGCGACGAUCGGUAGCCGGGCUGAGAGGUUGAACGGCCACAUUGGGACUGAGACACGGCCCAG